GCCUGGGUGGCUCAGUCGGUUGAGCGUCCGACUUCAGCUCAGAUCAUGAUCUCGUGGUUCGUGGGUUUGAGUCCCACGUCGGGCU
rnacentral:tRNA from 1 species